CAGGGGUGCGUAAUGAUGGUGGCAGGUGUGCGUAAUGAUGGUGGCAGGUGUGCGUAAUGAUGGUGGCAGGUGUGCGUAAUGAUGGUGGCAGGUGUGCGUAAUGAUGGUGGCAGGUGUGCGUAAUGAUGGUGGCAGGUGUGCGUAAUGAUGGUGGCAGGUGUGCGUAAUGAUGGUGGCAGGUGUGCGUAAUGAUGGUGGCAGGUGUGCGUAAUGAUGGUGGCAGGUGUGCGUAAUGAUGGUGGCAGGUGUGCGUAAUGAUGGUGGCAGGUGUGCGUAAUGAUGGUGGCAGGUGUGCGUAAUGAUGGUGGCAGGUGUGCGUAAUGAUGGUGGCAGGUGUGCGUAAUGAUGGUGGCAGGUGUGCGUAAUGAUGGUGGCAGGUGUGCGUAAUGAUGGUGGCAGGGGUGUGUAAUG